rnacentral:rRNA from 1 species
CCUACGGGUGGCAGCAGUGGGGGAUAUUGCACAAUGGGGGGAACCCUGAUGCAGCGACCCCGCGUGGGUGAAGAAGCGCCUCGGCGCGUAAAGCCCUGUCAGCAGGGAAGAAAAUGACGGUACCUGAAGAAGAAGCCCCGGCUAACUACGUGCCAGCAGCCGCGGGAAUACGUAGGGGGCAAGCGUUAUCCGGAUUUACUGGGUGUAAAGGGGGCGCAGACGGGGAUGCAAGCCAGGAGUGAAAGCCCGGGGCCCAACCCCGGGACUGCGCUUGGAACUGCGUGGCUGGAGUGCAGGAGGGGCAGGCGGAAUGCCUGGUGUAGCGGUGAAAUGCGUAGAUAUCAGGAGGAACACCGGUGGCGAAGGCGGCCUGCUGGACUGCAACUGACGUUGAGGCCCGAAAGCGUGGGGAGCAAACAGGAUUAGAUACCCCAGUAGUC